rnacentral:tRNA from 1 species
GGCUCUGCGGCGCAAUGGAUAGCCCAUUGGACUUCUAAUUCAAAGGUUGUGGGUUCGAAUCCCAUCAGAGUCG